CAGCGCCACGAGUGGUAACCACGUUUAUUGGGCCUAAAGCGUCCGUAGCCGGUUUGAUAGAUCUUUUGUGAAAUUGUACAGCUUAACUGUACAGCGUGCAAGAGACACUGUCAAACUUGAGACCGGGAGGAGUCAGAAGUAUUCCAGAGGGAGCGGUAAAAUGUUAUAAUCUCUGGAGGACUACCUGUGGCGAAGGCGUCUGACCAGAACGGAUCUGACGGUGAGGGACGAAAGCUAGGGGAGCGAACCGGAUUAGAUACCCGAGUAGUCC
rnacentral:rRNA from 1 species